CUGUGUAUGUGGGAGCAGGAGGAGAGACGCUGCAGUGUCUUGGCAGCUGCAUUAGUGCAUCUCCCACCGUCCGCGAUGCCUCCGCGGCCGAUGCCCGCCUCAUCCGCGUCCGCUCGACGACAGAAACCGACAUGAGCUCGUCGGGAAACUGAGCCGGAGGUUCACGCUACAGCUCCGCACCGAAACCCCGUCACGGGAAUUUAUUAAUGGAAAAUGGCGAUAGGCAAAAGGUCUUGCGGCAUCGUCUGCUUGGUAUCUGUCCAGAUUAUCUUGAUUUUCAGCGCGUCGUGGCCUGGAGCGGCGGCUCUCACGUUCCCCCAGCAAUACACGAUAAUGCACUGGGCCAGGCGUAUCGAGCAGGAGAUUGACAGAGUCUUUCAGCAAAUCACUGGAGCUCAGCAGUUGAAAGGGAUAUACAAUGAAGAAAGACGACGAUUUAGUCUGGUGAAGAAUCAGCCUCGGAAGAUUGUGGAGAGGGUGGCCUCAGACAUUGAGAAACUCUUGGCUAAGAAGCGCAAAGCCCUUGAUAGGUUAGCCAGUGAAGCAGAGCGGCUCCAGCGAGAGCAUCUGUGGCAGGAUGGAAUCAAGGAGUUGGACAUGGCUUAUUAUGACUCUAAGGCUGAGCUGGAUUAUUAUUCAAUGGAUGGAGAAGGAGAGGUGGAAAAUCCUUCCCAUAUCAAGCUGGAGUUUGUUUAUGAUCCAAACUUCAAAAACAAUGUAAACUAUUCCUACACAGCUGUUCAGAUUCCCACAGAUAUUUAUAAAGGAGCUCCAGUCAUUCUGAAUGAGUUGAACUGGACGCAGGCGCUGGAGAAAGUCUUCAUGGAGAACAGUCGGGAGGAUCCGUCACUGCUGUGGCAAGCAUUCGGGAGUGCGACGGGAGUCACCCGCUACUAUCCAGCUACGCCUUGGAAAGCCCCUGAUAAAAUCGACCUGUAUGACGUCAGGAGGAGGCCCUGGUACAUCCAGGGCGCCUCAUCCCCUAAAGAUAUGGUCAUUCUCGUCGAUGUGAGCGGCAGUGUCAGCGGACUCACCCUAAAACUGAUCAAAGCGUCAGUGAUGGAAAUGCUGGACACUUUGUCUGAUGAUGACUAUGUCAACGUGGCCAGGUUCAACGAGAAGGCCGAGGCCGUGGUUCCAUGCUUCAGACAUCUAGUCCAGGCAAAUGUGCGCAACAAAAAGAUCUUCAAGGAUGCAGUGCAGCAGAUGCAGGCAAAAGGCACCACUGACUACAAGUCUGGAUUUCAUUUUGCCUUCAACCAGCUGUUGAAUAAGACAAAUGUCCCCCGGGCUAACUGCAAUAAAAUAAUCAUGCUGUUUACUGAUGGAGGAGAGGACAGAGCUCAGGAUGUCUUCAUGCAAUACAACUGGCCCAACAAAACGGUUCGAGUAUUCACCUUUUCUGUGGGUCAACACAACUAUGAUGUCACACCCUUACAAUGGAUUGCAUGUACCAAUAAAGGUUACUAUUUUGAGAUCCGUUCCAUCUGUGCUAUAAGGAUUAACACCCAGGAGUACCUCGACGUGCUGGGACGCCCCAUGGUCCUGGCAGGCAGCGAUGCCAAGCAGGUUCAGUGGACCAAUGUGUAUCAGGAUGCUUUGGGUCUUGGCAUGGUAGUUACUGGGACUUUGCCUGUAUUUAAUCUCACCAUGGAUGGAAACUCACAGAAUCAGCUGAUAUUAGGUGUCAUGGGAGUUGACGUUCAUCUGGACGAGAUAAAGCGAUUGACACCACGGUACAAUCUUGGAGCCAAUGGAUACAUUUUUGCCAUUGAUCCAAAUGGAUAUCUUCUCCUACAUCCUAAUCUCCAGCCAAAGCUUGUGAACCUCCCUGAACCUGUGACGCUGGACUUCCUAGAUGCAGAGGUGGAGGACAACAAUAAAGAGGAGAUCCGCCGACAAAUGAUUGAUGGAAGACCAGGUGAAAUGCAGGUCAAAACUCUGAUCAAGUCGAUUGACGAGCAAUACAUUGAUGAGGUGUACAGGGGCUACACCUGGACUCCUAUCAACGGUACAGAUUACAGUCUUGGUUUGGUACUACCCCUCUACAAUGAGUACUACAUCCAGGCAGACCUGAGCGAUGUGAUGCUGCAGCUCCAGUAUAUGCAGUCGCUGCUGCCCAGCUCCUUUGAAUCAUCGGGACAUGUGUUUCUGGCUCCAAGGGAAUACUGCCAGCGACUGCACCUUUCUGACAACAACACCCAGUUUUUGCAGAACUUCCUUUCGCUCAUGCUGGAUAUUUCUCCAGAAUCUGAUGAGUGUGACCAAGGCCUCAUCCACAACCUGAUUUUGGAUUCUAGGAUCAUUGGGCAGCUGGCCUCUCGUGUAUGGAAGAACAAGGACCUGAAUUCGUACGGCUUCCUGGCUGUGUUUGCGUCCACAGAUGGAGGAAUAACACGGGUUUUCCCCAACAUAGCCGCUGAGUUAUGGGAGGAAGAUCCUGAACCCUUUAAUUCAAAUUACUACAGACGGAGCCUCGACAACAGAGGUUACAUGUUCAGAGCUCCAUCGAGAUCCUCCUUGGACGACCCCGUAGGUGCGGAAAACGGCACUCUUGGAAUUCUGGUUAGUUCAGCUGUAGAGGUCAAUUUAGGCGGCAAACUGCUCAAACCCGCAGUGGUUGGAGUGAAGCUGGACUUGGAAGCAUGGGUCGACAAGUUUAAGAUCCUGGCCAGCAACGUGUCAGACAGUCGACAGGGCUCGCACAAGUGUGGACCAUCCAGAAGUUGUGAGAUGGACUGUGAAGUGAACACUGAUGACCUCCUCUGCUAUCUCAUUGAUGAUGGUGGGUUCCUGGUGAUGUCCAAUCAGAGAGAUCACUGGAAAAAGGUUGGUCUUUUCUUCGGCGAUGUGGACCCUUACCUGAUGCACGCACUCUACAACAACUCAAUUUUCAGCCGCCGUCAGUCUUUUCACUACCAGUCUGCAUGUGAACCGGUCAGCAGCAGCCACACCGGUGCAGCACCAAGAGGCAUCUUUGUGCCGUCCAUUGCUGACAUCCUCAGCUUGGCUUGGUGGACAUCUACAGUGGCAUGGUCUGUGGUCCAGCAGCUACUGUAUGGACUGGCCUACAACAGCUGGCUCUACCAAGAUGAUGUCCUAGUUGAAGGUUUUGAGACAAAAGAAAGCAGCUGUGUGACCAUCCAAAGCCAGUUCUACUUUACAAACACCACCAAUUCCUACAACGUGCUGCAGGACUGUGGAAACUGCUCACGGCUGUUCCACGCAAAGCGGAUAGAAAACACCAACCUGCUCUUUGUUGUUGCUGAGACACUGCCCUGCAGCUCCUGUGAGAUAGAGAGAUUGACCCAGGUCAGGACAGAGUUUCAAGAGGAGAAUCCAUGUGAAGUACUGAGCAAUGCACGAUAUCGUAAAGGCCCGACUUCCUGCUUUGACUACAGUGCCUUAGAAAACACAUCAGAGUGUGGACGGGGUCAUUCUCUGCAGUCCUCCAUAGGAGUCCUUCUCUUUAUUCAGCUUAUUCUGCCGCUCUUUCAUCUCUGACACGUGCAAACGCUCCGACACCUUUCGUCUCUUUGGGUUAAGGCUCGGAUCUACUGAAGUGCCUUGUUGCACUCGUUUUGGACGGCAGGAACAUUUGGAUCUUACCUGUGGAAGUUCAUCCCGCGGGCCUUGUGAAAGACACACUUGAAUUUCAAGGGUUGCAAUGGCUCAACUCUAAAUGGACUUCUCGGUCAGCAAAUAUAAAAAAGAUGCUCUUCAUGAACUUAGGAAGCCUUUUUGAAGAGCACAACAUACAUAUGUUGAGCAGCUGGCCUCCCCUCCUGCCUUCUCAUGGACAGAUGUUAGUCGAUGCGAUGAGAACAAACCCUGCUGCCCUUCUGCUACGUGUCGUUUAUAUCUACACUGUGGUUUAGCCUUGAAUCAAAGCACAGACACUGUCCAUUUUCAUAGAUUUCUACGGCGUCCCAUCUGCACACUCUAUAUUCUUUACCUGAAAUGUUGGAAACAUGUACUUUUCCAUUAGGACUGACUGAAACGAGUGAAUGUUUAUGUACAGUAUACCUACUGUUGCGCAUCUCCGCUGUACCCAAGCAUGGUGGGGAUCUGGAGAAGCAGACUAAAGCUCAACACUGUAUGGAGACCUCAGCAAAAACACUGCUUACAAAAAACUAACAACAGCAACAACAACAAAAGCUUUUACUCUGAGACCUGCAGUAUUGACGUUAGGUCAUACUGCAUUAUUCAAACAACACUGUUGUACGUCGAAGGAAAGAUAUUUUGUGGAACUCUUUAUAGCCUACCAUGUAUUACUAUUGUUGAGGUCAGUGUUGUAGUUUUGUUUUAAAUUACCAGUAUUUAUUUGCAUGGUAUUUUUGAACAAUUUACAGAUUAGUGUACAUAGCCUGAUGGAUAUUUUACAUUCCUGUCCACGUCCAGCUCUCCAGCACAGUGGGGAGAAGCGACGGCGCCCUCUGUGGAUAUUUCAGGUGACGUGGAGGCCCCAGAGCUCUUUGCAGUGUGUAAAUGAAUAAAGAUGAAAGUUUGACUUCAGUGAAGCCUACAGUAACCGUCAGUGUUUGCAAUUUAGGUGUUUUGCUGCAAGUAAAAGCACAGAGAAGUUUAGAGUUAUGAGCAACAUACUGCCUGAUCAAACCUUUGUCAUUUAUUUAUGAGAAAUGUCUGAUAAUGAUUUAUGCAUUGAAAGGCUUUAUAACAACCAAACAAGGCCAUGGCAUGUGUGGGGAUGCCCCUUUAUUAAUGAACUCUUUAUGAAAUAGGUUUAAGUGUUGCUUUUUUAAUUUAUUUGUGUACUCUUUAAUUUAUUUGUUGAUUUAUUUGGGUAUUGUAAAUAAUAUCUGUGUCAAACAGAAAGGAGCUGAAUGUGAUUGAAGCUUGCGUGAGCACAAUAAGCAGUUUACAAGAAAAUCUGCAAAACAGACAAAAACAGAUAUAUUUACUGUAUGUCUCUGUCCUUUUAUUUACUGAGUAUCAAAAGAUAAGAAUGUUAAUGUUUUUGCUGUAACUUUGCUUUUAAUUUUGCUGACGUUGUUGUUUUACUCGGGACAGUUUCCUCUCUUUGUGCCAGUCUCCAACGCCACCUCAUUUUUGUACAGACGAUGUGAAGCAGUCAGCAGAGGAUGAAGGUUAACUUUGUAAAGACUUUGUGAGUCACAUUACAAAAUGGAUAUUUAAAUGUUUAUAUCU